rnacentral:RNase_P_RNA from 1 species
CGAGUAUUUCAUACGGUUGCGGGCAAAGAAAUUUGCGUGAGGAAAGUCCGGGCAUCAUAGGGCAAGGUGCUUGCUAACGGCAAGUGAAGGCGACUUCAAGGAAAGUGAACAGAAAUAUACCGCAAGCUUUAUGCUUGUAAGGGCGGAAUGGCGAGGUAAGAGCUCACCGUGGGCACGGUAACGCGCCCAGCCAGUCAAACCCCACCCGAUGCAAGAUUGGGAUAAUAUCUUAUUUUAAUAUAAGGGCUGCCCGUCCGAUAUUAUCCGUCAACAUCGCUUGAACCCGCGGGCGACCGCGGGUCUAGAUAGAUAACCGUACACGACAGAACCCGGCUUACAGAUUUAUCUCGGAUU